rnacentral:rRNA from 1 species
UGGGGAAUAUUGCACAAUGGGCGAAAGCCUGAUGCAGCAACGCCGCGUGAGUGAUGAAGGCCUUCGGGUUGUAAAGCUCUGUCUUUUGGGACGAUAAUGACGGUACCAAAGGAGGAAGCCACGGCUAACUACGUGCCAGCAGCCGCGGUAAUACGUAGGUGGCAAGCGUUGUCCGGAUUUUACUGGGCGUAAAGGAUGCGUAGGCGGAUUUUUAAGUGAGAUGUGAAAUACCCGGGCUUAACUUGGGUGCUGCAUUUCAAACUGGGAAUCUAGAGUGCGGGAGAGGAGAAUGGAAUUCCUAGUGUAGCGGUGAAAUGCGUAGAGAUUAGGAAGAACACCAGUGGCGAAGGCGAUUCUCUGGACCGUAACUGACGCUGAGGCAUGAAAGCGUGGGUAGCAAACAGGAUUAGAUACCCUGGUAGUCCACGCCGUAAACGAUGAGUACUAGGUGUAGGAGGUAUCGACCCCUUCUGUGCCGCAGUUAACACAAUAAGUACUCCGCCUGGGAAGUACGAUCGCAAGAUUAAAACUCAAAUGAAUUGACGGGGUCAUAGCUGUUUUUCC